CACAAUGAGUGGAUGUUUUCAGAGAGCUAGCCACAAUGACUCCAAAAUUUUUUCUUGGGUGAUGAUAGAUGCUAAUUGAAAACGCAAGUAAUGCAGUAUAUAUGUAACAGCCUCCUAGACAGGGAGGAAGGAGAGAACCCAACAUCUUUGUCAUCCUCACGAUAAACAGACUUCCUGCACAACUCAGAGAGCUCACCUAAGGACACACAGUUUCAUAAAUCAAGGAUUUUCAAGCAGACAGCAGCAAGAUGAGGAACUUUUGAUCAGAAACUGGUCAGACAUUCCCAGAAUGGUUAAGAGCCUGUCAAGGUCACUGCCAAGGACAAGAGAGUCAAUUAGUAUGCAGAUCAGAGGCAAGGAGUUCAAAGGUAUUGUUCCAAUUCAAUCACAUUAGCCAGGCCAGUAAUGAACAAACGGCAUGACCUUAAUCAUGGAGCCUGAACCACUCAUUGAAGGAAAGUAUGUGUCUGUGUGUGUAUUUGGAGGGGAGGGGGCGUCAGAAGGAGGGGUUAGAGUGACAGGAAGGUUUUUUAAAGAGACAGUAUGAACAGUUGGCUUAAUUAGCCACCAGUAUCUUAUUUCAUAGUCAUCUUAUUUUAAAGCACAAGAUGGCUUUUAUUUUGGGUUACAAAUGAAACAGACGUAAAUGGACUUGGGGUUAGAAUAGUUAAUAAAAAUGCUCAGGCAUUCUCUGGUAUAUUAAAGGGCUUGCAGGAGGAGAUGGAUAAACUAUGGAAAAGGACCAAACUAAAUUUUGCAAUUUCAAGAGUAUCCUCAUUAUGUUAAUUUCCUUAAAGUCUUGAAGUAACCGUCUCCUUUAUUACAGAAUGUUACAGUGCUUGCAGUCCAUAGACACAGUAGGAAUUUGUAGUUAUGUCAUUAAUACAGUAGAAAAAAAUAUUUAUAUCCAAAAGAAUAUAUUGUUUUAAUAUGUUAAGUCCAACAAACAUUAGAGCUAUGUUCAGUAACAUUUUUAGUGUUUUAGGUAUUACAGUUGUCAAGUUAUUUACCAUAUUUCUUAGGCUAGCAAUCUGUAUGUGUGAUUGUUCUCUCUCUCUCCCUCUCUUUCUAACACACACACAUG